CCUAGUCUCAGUAAGUACCAGAUAGCUGAGAGCAAAUUGAUGACUUUCCCUUCCCAUUGGAGUUUGUGCUAUAUUUUCCAUUAAUUAAGUGCAAUGUUUAAGUUUAAUUUUUAGAACACUGCAUUUCAACUGCACGGAUUGGUUACAAAAUGUCCUCUUUGUCAUUUAGCUUUAUCAUGGACCAUUUUCUUUUGCAUUUUGAUCACGUGUCUCUAUUAUGUCCAAAGUACGAAAAACCUACUCCUGCAAAUGUGUUAGAAAGCUUAUGCUAAUGUUCCCUAUAUAUGAUUCCAAAUAUGCAUGUCAGUUUACUUAAUUAAAUCUCAAUUGUGGUGCAUUGUUUGCAGGAGCACCUUAAAAAAAGUGACCUGUCUUUCGUAUUUCGAUUACAGGUUGCUGACGAUUCUACAUUGUAUGGUUGCUGUGUGUUAGUUGAUGAAAUUGUGCAAAAACCCUCUGGAUUGCUCUCCAUGAUUUCAGAUAAGCGCUCUUCCUGCUCAUCUUUGAGUCGUCAUGUACUAACGACUCGCAGAUGUUACUGCAUUCUUUCAAGGCUUCCAUUCUUACUGCAUUUUAUAACUAAGAUUUUUAAUUUUCUUAUCUAAUUGGCAACGCAUGUUUAGAAAAUAAUAGUUAAUUACUAAAUUAACCAAUAUCGCCUUUUUCUUUAAUA